GAUGAACGCUGGCGGCGUGCCUAAUACAUGCAAGUCGAGCGAAUGGAUUAAGAGCUUGCUCUUAUGAAGUUAGCGGCGGACGGGUGAGUAACACGUGGGUAACCUACCCAUAAGACUGGGAUAACUCCGGGAAACCGGGGCUAGUACCGGAUAACAUUUUGAACCGCAUGGUUCGAAAUUGAAAGGCGGCUUCGGCUGUCACUUAUGGAUGGACCCGCGUCGCAUUAGCUAGUUGGUGAGGUAACGGCUCACCAAGGCAACGAUGCGUAGCCGACCUGGGAGGGUGGUCGGCCACACGGGGACUGAGACACGGCCCAGACCCCUACGGGAGGCAGCAGUAGGGAAGCUUCCGCAAUGGACGAAAGUCUGACGGAGCAACGCCGCGUGAGUGAUGAAGGCUUUCGGGUCGUAAAACUCUGUUGUUAGGGAAGAACAAGUGCUAGUUGAAUAAGCUGGCACCUUGACGGUACCUAACCAGAAAGCCACGGCUAACUACGUGCCAGCAGCCGCCGUAA
rnacentral:rRNA from 1 species